AUAAGGAGAAAGAAAGAAGAUUAUUAGUUCUGCUCUCUCAACCUAGAUUAGAUAGAAAGGGAAAAAAAAUAGCACGUUUUCUUCUUAAAGGUAGAUCUUGGAGUUAGAACUGUGUAAGGAUGAAUCAUGUUUGACUAGAGUGAAAAGCAGCUUACGAGGAAGGUGAAACUAAAUCUGAAUUGAGCUUCUAUAUAGGAUUAAAGGGCUGGGGUUUCAAGAAGCGGGCUGGAAGAUGUAAGAUUUCUUUACGGAAACGAGGUGGAUAUGUGUUGUGCAAGUCUGUCUUUCUUAUUGAUGGGUGUUGUGUGGUAUACGUUGGUUGGUUAUCCUGCGAGGAGUGUAUGUUUUUCCCAACAACUCUUUGUGUCAAGUGAAGGUACCGUAGUUGAAGGCAAAGAAAAGGAAGGAGAAUACUACGUGUGGAUUGAUUGAGGUCACUCUAGUAGUUAGCUGGUGUACAUUUUAGAUUCCCGUUUCUUGUUGCAUCCGUUUUUUGAGGUGAUGUUUACUACUGCUGAUGCGCCAUCUUUUUGUAUCAUAUACAGAUCUAGCAACUUGUGAAUAGGAGUUCUGUUGUAAAAUUAAGUAGUAAGUUAUAUGAAAUAUACCCACUGAAGUGUUGUACAUUGAUCAAGUGUCGGCUCCUCAGAUUACCUAUCAAGUAUGCUUUAAUCACUAUCAUCUCCUUAGUGGAUAGCAAAUCUAGUGAAUAAGAUUAGUGUUCGUAUGUUUCAAAUUAAGAAUAAUUGUAGAAUCUGUAUCCACCAAAGCAUAUGAGACUUUAGGUGAGCAUUUGUUAAUAUCAAAUUUGAUUACUUUC